CAGCCGCCACGGUAAUACGAAGGGUGCAAGCGUUACUCGGAAUUACUGGGCGUAAAGCGUGCGUAGGUGGUGAUUUAAGUCCGUUGUGAAAGCCCUGGGCUCAACCUGGGAAUUGCAGUGGAUACUGGAUCACUAGAGUGUGGUAGAGGAUAGUGGAAUUUCCGGUGUAGCAGUGAAAUGCGUAGAGAUCGGAAGGAACAUCUGUGGCGAAGGCGACUAUCUGGGCCAACACUGACACUGAGGCACGAAAGCGUGGGGAGCAAACAGGAUUAGAUACCCCCGUAGUCCCUGUCUCUUAUAC
rnacentral:rRNA from 1 species